rnacentral:rRNA from 1 species
GACGAACCGUGCGAACGUUGCUCGGAAUCACUGGGCGUAAAGGGUGCGUAGGCGGCCGUGCAAGUCUGGUGUGAAAGCCCCGGGCUCAGCCCGGGAACUGCAAUGGAAACUGGCGGGCUUGAGUGUGGCAGAGGCGCGUGGAAUUGCAGGUGUAGCGGUGAAAUGCGUAGAUAUCUGCAGGAACACCCGUGGCGAAAGCGGCGCGCUGGACCACUACUGACGCUGAGGAACGAAAGCUAGGGGAGCAAACAGG